rnacentral:lncRNA from 1 species
GCUCUAUCCACUGUGCCACCUACCUGCCCCUGCACUGGAGCUUUGAGCUGGGGCACAGAGUCUCCUGCAGGACUCAGGUCUGGGCCGGCUGAAACCCAAUGUGCUAGUCUUGGAUAUAAGCAUGAUUGGCAAGAGGUGCCCACACUUGCAAUAAAGGACUACAUGUUUUUGGACUCUGAAGGAAUGGAUGCCUUGGAGAAAGGGGUGG